rnacentral:rRNA from 1 species
CACGUAGUUAGCCGGACCUUAUAGAUGGUACCGUCAUUGAUUCUUCCCAUUCUUUCGAAGUUUACAUACCGAAAUACUUCAUCCUUCACGCGGCGUUGCUGGGUCAGGCUUUCGCCCAUUGCCCAAAAUUCCCGACUGCUGCCUCCCGUAGGAGUCUGACCCGUUAUUCAGUGUCAGUGUGACCGACCGUCCUCUUAGACCGGUUACAGAUCGUAGCCUUGGUAAGCCAUUACCUUACCAACUAGCUAAUCUGCCGCAAGCUCCUCUUCAAGCGAUAAAUCUUUAACAACUGUCAUCUUGCGAUGCCGCUGCAUUAUGCGGUAUUAGCGUCCGUUUCCGGACGUUUAUUCCCCAUCAAAGGUAGAUUACUUACGUGUUACUCACCCGUGCGCCACUCUAUACACUCUCCGAAGAGAGCUUUUAAAUCGUUCGACUUUGCAUGUCUGAGGCACGCCGCAGCGUUGAUUCUGAGCCAGGAUCAAAACUCU